GCCGCAGUAGCUCAGUGGUAGAGCCCUCGCAUCGCAUGCGGGGACCUGGGUUCGAUUCCCGGCUGCUUCC
rfam:Toxocara canis scaffold404, whole genome shotgun sequence.